GUCGAACGAUGAUGCCCAGCUUGCUGGGUGGAUUAGUGGCGAACGGGUGAGUAACACGUGAGUAACCUGCCCUUGACUUCGGGAUAACUCCGGGAAACCGGGGCUAAUACCGGAUAUGAGCUACCUUCGCAUGGGGGUGGUUGGAAAGUUUUUCGGUCAGGGAUGGGCUCGCGGCCUAUCAGCUUGUUGGUGGGGUGAUGGCCUACCAAGGCGACGACGGGUAGCCGGCCUGAGAGGGCGACCGGCCACACUGGGACUGAGACACGGCCCAGACUCCUACGGGAGGCAGCAGUGGGGAAUAUUGCACAAUGGGCGAAAGCCUGAUGCAGCGACGCCGCGUGAGGGAUGAAGGCCUUCGGGUUGUAAACCUCUUUCAGCAGGGAAGAAGCGCAAGUGACGGUACCUGCAGAAGAAGCGCCGGCUAACUACGUGCCAGCAGCCGCGGUAAUACGUAGGGCGCAAGCGUUGUCCGGAAUUAUUGGGCGUAAAGAGCUCGUAGGCGGUUUGUCGCGUCUGGUGUGAAAACUCGAGGCUCAACCUCGAGCUUGCAUCGGGUACGGGCAGACUAGAGUGCGGUAGGGGAGACUGGAAUUCCUGGUGUAGCGGUGGAAUGCGCAGAUAUCAGGAGGAACACCGAUGGCGAAGGCAGGUCUCUGGGCCGCAACUGACGCUGAGGAGCGAAAGCAUGGGGAGCGAACAGGAUUAGAUACCCUGGUAGUCCAUGCCGUAAACGUUGGGCACUAGGUGUGGGGCUCAUUCCACGAGUUCC
rnacentral:rRNA from 1 species